rnacentral:misc_RNA from 1 species
GAUGAAGAACGCAGCGAAAUGCGAUAAGUAAUGUGAAUUGUAGAAUUCAGUGAAUCAUCGAAUCUUUGAACGCACCUUGCGCUCCUUGGUAUUCCGAGGAGCAUGCCUGUUUGAGUGUCAUGAAUCUCUCAAACUCUUAGUUUCAUUACUGAGUGUUUGGAUUUGGAGGUCUAUGCUGGCGCAAGUCAGCUCCUCUUAAAUACAUUAGCUUGGGUCUUGCAUGUCUGGAUCCUUGGUGUGAUAAUUAUCUACGCCAUGAUGUCCCUUCAAGCCCUGCUUCUAAUCGUCUGAAUAAGACAAUUUAUUACUUGACAUCUGACCUCAAAUCAGGUAGGACUACCCGCUGAACUUAAGCAUAUCAAUAAGCGGAGA